ACGGGUGAGUAACACGUUGGAACCUGCCCCAAAGUGAGGAAUAAGCCACCGAAAGGUGGUCUAAUACUUCAUAAUAUCCAUCUCGUAUGGAUUAAAGCUUUAUGCGCUUUGGGAGGGGCCUGCGUAACAUUAGCUUGUUGGUGAGGUAAAAGCUCACCAAGGCUUCGAUGUUUAACUGGUUUGAGAGGAUGACCAGUCACACUGGGACUGAGAUACAGCCCAGACUCCUACGGGAGGCAGCAGUAAGGAAUCUUCCACAAUGGGGCAACCCUGAUGGAGCAAUACCGCGUGCAGGAUGAAGCGUUUCGGCGUGUAAACUGCUUUUAUCACCGAAGAUUAUGACUGUAGGUGAAGAAUAAGGACCGGCUAACUACGUG
rnacentral:rRNA from 1 species